AGGAGAGGCAAGCCUCAAGCUUGCCCGUUUGGGCAGAAGGAUCCUCCUCGGAUCAUCACCGGUAUUCCCCGGAGGACAUUGGCUAAGCUUCCAUUACCCAACAGCAUCAUGGCUCCUGCACAAAGCCACUAGAAGGUUGAGAGGACUAAAAAUACAGGAGACUUUUUCUUAUGUGGUGCCCAGUGACAGAACAAAGCAGAACACAGAAGGUUCCACCUAAAUGUGAGAUGAAACUUUAGUGGGAAGGUGGCUGGAGCCCUGGAGCAGGCUGCCCAGAGAGGUUGUAGAGUCUCCUCUGGAGAGAUUCCAAACCCAUCAGGACAUUGUGAUCGUGGGCAGCCUGCUGUGGGUGCCCUGCUUUAGCAGGGGGGUUGGACUGGGUGAUCUCCAGAGGUCUCUUCCAGCCCCCAUCAUGCUGGGAUUCUCUGUGACUUUGCUGGUUUGAGUGAAUCCCAGGAAGGAUUCUUCCUAGAUUUGGGGAGUAAUGAUCCUGUUCAGCACAGCUGCAAAUAAAUGUCCUACACUCCAAAAUGUACUGAUUUUUGUCACUUGACCCUUUUCCUGCCUGGAAAGCAUCCCACCAGGUCUUGAACUCUGCUACCUCCUGGCAAAAAGACUUCAAUGUGAAUUGUGAAAAACAGAGUUAUUUUUGUCUCCAUCAUAGUCCUAAGAGAGCUACACACAACAUCAGCUCAGGUAUAAACCCCCAGGAUACCCCAGAGAGUGAAAACAGAAGAGAGCCUCAUGUGGCAGAUACAGUUUGGCAGCUGCAAAAUAAACAGUUCCUGGCUAUGAAGGAAUCAGAGCAGAAAUCAAGAGCUAGCCAUAAUCUCUGGGUUGUAAAGAAGAGGAUUUGUGAAGCUGGGGAAGGAGUUUAUCACCACGUUGCACAUUUUCCAUCUCUGCUGUUAGAUGAAGCAAAUUGCUGUCCAUGGCCACCCCCAGUCCCAGGAUGUCCUGGGCUGAGAUAACUUCCAUGCAAUUUCCUUGCUCUAGCAGUUAACUGUUCUGCACCUCCUCUUUUUAAUCUGGCUGACACAAUGAGAGAGUUUUAAUUAACAAGGAGCAAAUAGGAUUAAUUAAACCUUAAGGUCUGAGUGGUUAACAAUUGAAAGCCUUUAGACAAGUCCCUGCAGUAUGAUGUUGUUAUUAUUUGUAAUGGUUAAGGCAGCAGAUAUUCCUCCAGAUCCGUAGCAAGGUAUUAGACCUGGCAGGAGAAGAAGUACUUUCACUUCAUCAGGAAGGCUUAAAGUGAUGCUGGGUCCUGCAGGUCCUGCACAAAGCAUCAAGGUGCACGUUCCCAAACUCCAUCAAUCCCUCUGGCUGCUGGAGAUGAGUAGUCCUGCUCCCACCAAUCCCAUGGGCAGCGAAACUUAAGGGGCAAUCCAAGAUAUCAGACCAAGAUGAAGGGAUGGAGAGCACUCCUCUGGAGAAAAAUUUGAGGGUGCUGGGGGGUGUAAGGCUGGACAUGAGCCAGCACCAUGCACUCACAGCCCAGAACCAGCUCUGCCCUGAGCUGAUCUCUGGCACUGUGGGCAGCAGGGGCAGGGAAGGAAUUCUGCCCCUCUGCUCUGCUCUGCUGAGACCCCAUGUGCAGUGCUGGGUCCUCUCCUAAAGGUCUUUUCCCCACCUCAUGCCUCAUGGCACCAGUAAUCUUCUCAGCUGAGGGCACCACUGUGUUAUUGGCCAAAAUAUUAGAGCCAGAAAGAGCCCUUCAGGAGGACCCACAAUGUUCGUGUGU